rnacentral:rRNA from 1 species
GAUGAACGCUGGCGGUCUGCUUAACACAUGCAAGUCGAACGAACUCUUCGGAGUGAGUGGCGGACGGGUGAGUAACGCGUGAGAAUCUGCCUGUGGGUCGGGGACAACCACUGGAAACGGUGGCUAAUACCGGAUGAGCCGAAAGGUAAAAGAUUUAUUGCCCACAGAUGAGCUCGCGUCUGAUUAGCUAGUUGGUAAGGUAAAAGCGUACCAAGGCGACGAUCAGUAGCUGGUCUGAGAGGAUGAGCAGCCACACUGGGACUGAGACACGGCCCAGACUCCUACGGGAGGCAGCAGUGGGAAUAUUGCACAAUGGGGGAAACCCUGAUGCAGCAACGCCGCGUGGAGGAUGACGCAUUUCGGUGUGUAAACUCCUUUUAUCAGAGAAGAUUAUGACGGUAUCUGAUGAAUAAGCUCCGGCUAACUCCGUGCCAGCGCCGCGGUAA